AUGCGCNGCUAANAUGCAAGUCGAGCGCGAAACCCGCUUUCGGCGGGAAGUAGAGCGGCGAAAGGGCGAGUAAUGCGUUCCUACGUACCCCCAGGUCGGGGAUAGCCCGGGGAAACCCGGAGUAAUACCCGAUGUGGUCUCCGGAUCAAAGGCUUCGGCCGCCCGGGGAGCGGGGAACGUCCUAUCAGGUUGUUGGUGAGGUAACAGCUCACCAAGCCUUAGACGGGUAGCGGGUGUGAGAGCAUGACCCGCCGCAUCGGGACUGAGACACUGCCCGGACUCCUACGGGAGGCUGCAGUAACGAAUCUUCCGCAAUGCGCGAAAGCGUGACGGAGCAAUGCCGCGUGCAGGAUGAAGCCCUUCGGGGUGUAAACUGCUGUCAGGGUUUAGCAACACAAUGAGCAGACCCAAAGGAAGGGCCGGCUAACUUCGUGCCAGCAGCCGCGGUAAUACGAAGGGCCCGAGCGUUAAUCGGAAUUAUUGGGCUUAAAGCGUACGUAGGCGGACUCGCAGGCAUCUUGUGAAAUCCCUCCGCUCAACGGAGGAACUGCAGGGUGAACCGCGUGUCUUGAGACAGGUAGGGGCUGUCGGAACGCUAGGUGGAGAGGUGAAAUUCGUAGAUAUGGGGAGGAACACCGGUGGCGAAGGCGGCCAUCUGGACGGUCACUGACGCUGAGACGCGAAAGCGUGGGUAGCAAACAGGAUUAGAUACCCUGGUAGUCCACGCUGUAAACGAUGAGAACUAGGUGUCGUGGGUGUUGACCCCCGCGGUGCCGUAGCUAACGCAUUAAGUUCUCCGCCUGGGAAGUACGGUCGCAAGACUAAAACUCAAAGGAAUUGACGGGGGGCC
rnacentral:rRNA from 1 species